ACAGAUCUGUUUUUUAAGUUGUUAGAGUUGUUCCUAAAAGCACUGAAGGAGGGUUUCUUGUGAUUGUAUAUGUGGAAAAGCAAAUAAUUUCUGGGAAAAUUAACUCUGGAAGGCAAAAAAUAUUCAUCAAACAAGCAAGAUGCGAAGGACCAGUUUGCAUCGGUCGGCUUGAGCUUCCGUUGCCGAGGUCUCUGGAGCGAGUGUUUGUUUGAUAACAUGGCAAACAUCUGGACCUGUGACAUCCCUCCCUCAUACCUGGGGGAGCUCCCUGGUAUUUCUGGUGCAGUCGGGGUGCUGUGGUAUGCAAUCGGCACCUUCAUCAAAUACAGGCAGGAGGUCACAUAUGCAAUCCCCGGGGUCACGUAUGAGCUGGGCUGCUCUUACUGGUUUGCCGUAGCAGGUGUGGUCUGUGUUUGUGCAGUGGGGAUAAUGCUUCUGUCAGUAACCUGUUCGACACGCAAGAGGGUGAACAAGAGGAAGAGUCACAGAGCCACACUGCUCCUGACAGGACACAAUAACCACAUGCCAACAUCUCCACUCCCUGGACACAGCAAGACGUAUCUGUGACUUGAUUUAGCACGACAUUGCCACACGCUGGACAGAGCCAGACUUAUCUGUGACUUCAUUUAUAAUGAUUGUCUUUACUUUAACUGUGCCCUGAUGCUUUGUCUGAUGUAACAGAGGUUUUCUGUAAACCUGAUGCUCAGUUAUUCUGAUUCACUGUUUAAUAUUGCAAUCUCAAUCUAUAUUCACAAAGCACUGACCAUCAGCAUUGUCUGUGAUUAUAGUAUUGAUCUAGCAUGAAACAGCUGCAGCUCCUAAUUUCAUUUACUGGCUUAUUUAUUAUCAAGCUUUGUAACAUUAACAUGUUGUUUUAGAUUUAUUUUUAAUGAAAACAUUUAGCCCAAUAUGAAGAGAUUAAAAAUAGAAGAAUGAGUCCCAGCCUAUUUUUUCACUGACAUACUAGUUGUUUUUAUUAAUAAUCUAUCCCAUUUUAGCUUUAACACAGUUGGUUAUUAAAUAUGAACUUGUGUUUACACAAUGACAAAGGGUUAUGGUUCAAUGUCAUUAUUUGUUAAAUGUGCAUUAUUUGCCCAUGUGCUGUACUAAGGCUGUGUCAAUACCACUAACUCCACUGAAGUUUAUUUUUUAAGUAGCGGUAGGUGCUACUGUAUUUAUAUGUGUUUUGUUUUAUGGCUGCCCUCCUCACUCAGCCAUUCUCAACUGUAUGAAAGCAAUGUUGUAAACGCAUGCAUGCACAAUUGUCUUUUCUGUUGAGGUGGUUAUUUCACGCCUGUAGCCAUGGUGCCGCAAGGAACACUUCAUAUUCCUGCCACCAGGUGGCAAAAGAAACACGGAAAAAAAUCUGUUAAAAUAACACCAAGGUCCUUAAUACUUUUAGGACAAAAAAACCCUAAACAAGGGGGCAGCUACAAAAUGCAUACAGGAAGUCUGGAUGUUUAC